UAACUCCAACCAGCAGAACACAUUUCCUGGUGCAGCUUGUUCGAAUAUGCCAUACAUGCCAGUGGUAAUUGAACUUUAUUUGGCUCAUAAUUUUGCGAACACACAAAAAAUAUAGUUCUUAUAUGUUAUUUAUGAAUUAUAGUUGGAUUAAAUGUUAAUUAUUGCAUCAACCAAUUAAAUCAAUCAGUAAAGCCUUUUAUCAAUUCGUAAACACAUUUUACUGUCAAAUUGUUCGUGUAGAAUUGUUAUAAAAGAUUAGCUUUAUUCAUAUCAUAAGCCUACAAAGGUGGGUGGAACUGUGAGACCGUAUACAAGCUCAUGAAAAUUGUGAGUCACAAAAGGGGUGCAACUGCGACAUCUGAUAUUGUGAUCACUGUUAACCAAAUAGAUCAAGGUAUACAAAUUAAGAACCCAAAUAUCAUAUUAAUGUUUCAAUUUCCCGUAAGAGAUAACUAAACACAAUUCACAAAGGCUUUACUGAUUGAUUCAAUUGGUUGAUGCUUGCGGACAACAAGAGAUAUGAAUGAUUAAAAAGGGUUAUAAGAUAUAAUUAAGUCAUGCUUGUCAGCGCUUAGUCAUGAUUCAAACAGUUAUGCUUAUAGUUUGUGCAGUUUCAUGAUGUUAAAGAUCCUGCUUUCUGUGGAUUAAAACAGGUAGUUAACGAGGUCUUUUUGCGUGUAGCUUUUACAGUCUUUAAUUAUGGAUUGGUAUGUUUAAAUUUUAAUUGACUUUUCUUCACUCUCUCCAAUCCCUGUAUUCAUUAUCUCAAGUUGUAUGCUUGGAUAAACAUUUGACUUUUCUUCUCUUGGGGGAAGAAGUCGUUCUUUGAUGGUAGCUUGUCUGGUAAGAAGUUUCAGUUUGGCUAGUAAUAUCUUGGGGGGUUUCCCCCAUUCGUUUCACCUUUUGUAUUGGAAUUUAAUUGCUUUUCUGUUAUGAUUUCAAG
rnacentral:lncRNA from 1 species